CUUUUAUGAGAGUUUGAUCCUGGCUCAGGACGAACGCUGGCGGCGUGCCUAAUACAUGCAAGUCGAACGCUUUUAUCUCACCGGGUGCUUGCACCCACCGAGGUAAAGGAGUGGCGGACGGGUGAGUAACACGUGGGUAACCUGCCCAUAAGUGGGGGAUAACAU
rnacentral:rRNA from 1 species